ACCCGCACAAGCGGUGGAUGAUGUGGAUUAAUUCGAUGCAACGCGAAAAACCUUACCUACCCUUGACAUGCCAGGAACUUGCCAGAGAUGGCUUGGUGCUCGAAAGAGAACCUGGACACAGGUGCUGCAUGGCUGUCGUCAGCUCGUGUCGUGAGAUGUUGGGUUAAGUCCCGCAACGAGCGCAACCCUUGUCAUUAGUUGCCACCAUUCAGUUGGGCACUCUAAUGAGACUGCCGGUGACAAACCGGAGGAAGGUGGGGAGUGACGUCAAGUCCUCAUGGCCCUUAUGGGUAGGGCUUCACACGUCAUACAAUGGUCGGUACAGAGGGUUGCCAACCCGCGAGGGGGAGCCAAUCCCACAAAGCCGAUCGUAGUCCGGAUUGGAGUCUGCAACUCGACUCCAUGAAGUCGGAAUCGCUAGUAAUCGUGGAUCAGCAUGUCACGGUGAAUACGUUCCCGGGUCUU
rnacentral:rRNA from 1 species